CUCUCUGCAUUAUUAUAAGGUGUGUUAAGUAGUACUAUUCUUAUCAGUUUAAUCCCUGUUACGUCCCCUAAUAGAGGACAUGUAUAUGGUAUCGAUUUUAGGAACCGGGAGAUGGAAAACGAUGCUUGGUCGGUCCUCCUACUUCAAAUUUGGGGCACUGCGCGUGCAAUCUAAUGUGCCACCGGAUAUGAGUG
rnacentral:snRNA from 1 species